AACGAACGCUGGCGGCAGGCUUAACACAUGCAAGUCGAGCGCCCCGCAAGGGGAGCGGCAGACGGGUGAGUAACGCGUGGGAACGUACCCUUUGCUACGGAAUAGCUCCGGGAAACUGGAAUUAAUACCGUAUGUGCCCUACGGGGGAAAGAUUUAUCGGCGAAGGAUCGGCCCGCGAUGGAUUAGCUAGUUGGUGGGGUAAUGGCCUACCAAGGCGACGAUCCAUAGCUGGUCUGAGAGGAUGAUCAGCCAAACUGGGACUGAGACACGGCCCAGACUCCUACGGGAGGCAGCAGUGGGGAAUAUUGGACAAUGGGCGCAAGCCUGAUCCAGCCAUGCCGCGUGAGUGAUGAAGGCCUUAGGGUUGUAAAGCUCUUUCGCCGACGAAGAUAAUGACGGUAGUCGGAGAAGAAGCCCCGGCUAACUUCGUGCCAGCCGCCGCUGUAAGAC
rnacentral:rRNA from 1 species